UUCCUCCUGGUUCUCAACAUCGGAUCUGGGUUAAUGUUUGGGCUGGAAUUCUUGGUGACUUUUUGAUCGGACCAUAGGUAUUUCCUUCCCCCUAAACUCUCGGUAUCUACUGUAUCUUCACUUACCUAAUCUCGAUUAACUGCACAUUGUUGGUCUUCACACGUUUACAGCCAUGAGGCCAAUAAACAAAAAUUACGCAUGUGCAAUUAUUUCUUCAAAUUUCGAAUGUGACAUUAUCCAAGAGUGGGCGGAUAAUGUCAGUGUUAUCCGGAUAACAUCGAAAAAUAAUAAACAGCCACUUAUUAAAUAUUAUCCAAGUUCGGACUUUACCCGUAACAUAUAUAUAUAUAUAUACGUAUAUAUAAGACCCCAACAAUAGAGAAUGUAUCCAACAAUGAGUAGAUCUGGUUAGACAACAUUCUAGGCCCUGAGGGAGUUAAGAGAGGGUACACAAAAAGGAAGAAAGAAAGUACAUUGGAAAGAAGGACGAAUGUACUGUACAUAGAAACUCGCAAAUAAAAUAAUUGCAUUAUAGCUUUAACUUGUGUUAUUACUUAUUGUGCAUCACAUAUAUAAAACAUUACAUAUAUAAUUAAAC
rnacentral:lncRNA from 1 species